AUCUAUGGCCAUGCCACCCUGAAUGUGUCCAAUCUCAUCUGAUCUUGGCAGCUAAGCAGGGUUGGGCCUGGUUAGUACUUAGAUGGGAAAAUAAAAACAUGAGUGGACCAUAAGCA
rnacentral:rRNA from 1 species